CUAAGUUUACACUCUGCAGACGAGCGAAUUGAGCAUGUUUUAAAGUUUGGUCAUAUACAUCAUAUAUAGUAUUUGAUAUUAAAGUGAUUUACGACAACAUAAUUGAUUGGGCUUUUAAAAUUUUUUAAAUAAUUAAUUUUAAAUGCCUAGUGUAUCCCAAACUGAUAAUUUUAAAGACAUUAUCCUUAAAAAUGAAUGUGACAGCAUCGCAACCUGUAAAAAUACUCCGUGAUUCAUAGACACUCAUUUUUUAAAUACAUACAGAAUACUCGCUGUUGCUCAUUUUAUUUAUUUAUUUUUCAAAUCACCAUUGUUUGCUUUUCCAGACUGUGUGCGUCUACCUUAUCCAGUUUUAUGUCGUAAGUUUGUAUGCAGUUUGUAGUAGUGAUUGCUGCAUUUACCACCAGGGGGCAUACUUCCACCAUGAUUGAAAAGCUGUAGAGUUGCUUGACUUAGUCUCCUCAUGUACCCCUUUUUCUUUUUUUUUUUUUUGUCUCUCUCCUCCUCCUGCAAGAAUCUGGGGCAAAGCAAGCAAGCAAGUGAGCGCGCAUGUGUGGAGGGGCCACACGAGGAUCUUCAGGGAGGUUAUGCAGCUGAAGACGUGACAGAAACACACAGGGGGCGGUGCUGUUUUGGAAUGAAAGUGAAGAGAAUUUUUAUAACCACUAGAUGGCGGCAUACAGUUACAAAAGGCCACGGCAGAAUGGCAGCUUCAGUGUCUGUUACUUGUGAAUGCACGCGUCUACUUCAAGAAAAACAUGCAUGGAUCAAUAAAAGGGUUCAAACCAGACCCGCCACAACAACUGGGAGUCCUCGUCUUACAGUCUCAAUCGAUUUGAGGCUUCAUCUUCGUCAGCCCCAGUCGCCGGAACCUUCUCUGCCCGUGACGUCGCUGAAGAUUUCAAGACUUCUGCUUGUCACGUGCACAAACUCACCACUACUACCACUGUGACUCAAUUCGGAGUCAAUUACAAGCGUUUAAUCUCAAAUUCAUAUCCAUCUCCAGGUUGUUGUGCCAUAGCGCUUGACAAAAUGGAUACGGGAUGAUAAAGACGCAAACAACUGUCAUUUACAACAGCUGCAAAAGCCGACAUAUAUCCAAACCUAACGUGACAACUGAAUUACUUCCGCUUCCGAGAAGUUCAUUUUAUGUUAUGCUGUUUUGUUAAACGCCACUUUUCUCUUUUUAAUAUAACUGACAUCGAACAAUGGCAAAAAUGUCUGCUACUUUUCACACUGGCCACUUUUCACGCUUGUCAUAAUACACAUUUUUUUGGGUUGAUAAUGCCUUACAUGUUCAGUGCUGUUACAAAAAGUAUGUCUUUAUUCAUGUUUAGAAUCAUAACAUUCUGAUGGUGGGGUAAAGCCUACAUUUGCAUUGCCUCCAAUUGCUGAACUACACUAGGUUUAUUACAAAUUCAAAAGCACAAUAACUGAUGCUACACAUUUACCUUCAGACCAAAAAUACUUUGAAAAGCACACUUUCCAACUACAUUUCAAACAUGCUUAAACAUUGUCGCCUUUGAUCGAUGCAAACCUCAGUACAAAACAACUGUUGUCCGCGAUGAUAAAGACUCAGACGAUUUACAUUUACAACUGCUGCAAAAGCUUGCAUACAUCCAAAACUAAUAUGAAAACUAAAUGACUUCCCCUCCCAUGUCUAAACACUUCCUAGAAGUUCAUUUUAUGUUAUGCUGUUUUUUUUUUUAAACACUUACAUGAUCCUACCUCAUCCACCCUGCCAAACAUGCACCAUUUUAACUCCUGUGUGGAGUUUGCAUGUUCUCCCCGUGCCCGCGUGGGUUAUCUCCGGGCACUCCGGUUUCCUCCCACAUCCCAAAAAACAUUCAUUAAUUGGAGACUCUAAAUUGCCCAUAGGCAUGACUGUGAGUGCGAAUGGUUGUUUGUUUCUAUGUACCCCGCCUCCUGCCCGAUGACAGCUGGGAUAGGCUCCAGCAUGCCUAGUGAGGAGAAGCAGCUCAGAAAAUGGAUGGAUGAUCAAUUCUUCCCAUACCUGAGUACUUUUUUUCUUUAAUAAUCGCUGACAUCUAGCAAUGGCAAAAAUGUCUUCUACUUUUCACACUAUCCACUAUUUACGGUCAUUUCUCAUGUAUAAUGUGCACCCCCAAAGUUGAUCAAAAUUCAGAUCUACCCAUGUAUACUGCAUUUUUACAAUGCAAGAUUUUGCUUCUACCCAAAUGAUCAAAACGAAGUAUUAUCUGUUUUUUUUUUUUUUUUUCCAAAUAAUUGUUCUGAAGUUAAGCAGUUUUUUGUUUUUUUUUAUUUACUUGCUCUUUUCAAAUUCACAGCUCUACUUUUUAGUAAAUUAGAAAACACAGUUGUGUUCAUGUUUGAUUAACCAGGCAGAAUUUGGAAGAUGGGCCCAAUUCUAUAAAGAAAACAUUAAGGAUCCGGCCAAACAAUUUUAUUUUAACAGGGUUCAAAUUAAACUGUCAAGCAUUUCAGAAAAGCAUAAUCAUUAAACAAAACAUAACCAUAAAGAAAUUAACGAUUGUUGUUCAGUCAGUCAUUUCAAAAAUAUAUAUAUUUUACUAAUUCUGCCAGCGUAUGUAAACUUAAUGAGCACAACUGUACAUAUCAUACAGUCAGUCAUAUGUACCCGUCAUAUUGGAAUGAAAGUGCAACCUACACCUUUUUAGAACCACUAGGUGGCGGUGGCAUAUUGGAAUGAAAGUGUACAGCUUUUUCAGAACCACUAGAUGGCGGCAUACAUUUAUGAAAUGUUACUUUUUUACAUUUGCCCCUAUACUUCAUGUAUAAUGCGCACUAUUGACAAUUUUGGGAGGGAGCGGGGAAUGUGCAUUGUACAUUAAAAAUUACAGUACUGGUCAUACACUUUUUGGUUAAUAAUGCCUUACAUGAAUAAAGACAUACUUUUUGGAACAGCAAUGAACAUCAGUGCUGUUACAAAACGUAUGUCUUUAUUCAUGUUUAUAAUCAUAACAUUCUGAUGGUGGGGUAAAGCCAACAUUUGCAUUGGCUCCAAUUUCUGCACUACACAAUUACAUUUACAACAAAUUCAAAUACAAAAGCAGAAUAACUGAAGCUACACAUUUACCUUCAGACCAAAAAUACUUCAAAAAGCAAUGCCAAACUACAUUUCAAAUAUAUUUAAACGUGUUCUCGCAAAAAGCCCGCUCCGACUUAAGAUGGUCGGGACCCAGACGAGCAGAACUUCAAACGACCGCCUCUCCUAACGCUUUCCGUGCCUCCCAUCUACAGCCAGACCUUUCCAACACCAGUCAUCGACCGAGGUGUUCUCCAAAGCUCACCUUCCGGCGACUAGCCACGGCUACUUUUAUCUUUGGAGAGGAUUUUCCUUUCGCUCGACUCCUCUUCCACCCUGCCAAACAGCGCGCGCCGUUACUUAUGUGCUGGUCUAAAACUUUUGCAUGCUCACUGCAGCGACAACAAAACCCUGGAGAACUGUACUUUGUUGGUUAUCCUUACCUGGCCUCUUCUCCCAUCCAGCUCAUCUUCUCUGCAAAACACACCAUACAAUGACUUGGGUCCUAGUUUAAGAAAUUGCCAGGUUGUGCUAGUUUCGCCACUCUGUGCCUUCUGUCCCAAACGACUGCUUCUCCACCCUGCAAAGACAAAAAAAAUACAAUUUAGAAAUACAUCCGACUACAUUGGUGGUUGCUUUUGACCGGUCUCUAAUCGCAUCAAAGCUCAUCUACCUUGGAAAGUGCUGGUCACUUUGUAGGUCUGUAUACUCAGUACCCUCAGCCAGUCCCACUCCAUCCUGCCAAAAAUUAUUGAACAAAAGACCACUGUGCGCUUAUGACUCCCCAGUUCUGGUUCCUCUCAUCAAACCUGCUGCCUCAACACUGGAAAAACUACCAAAUACCAUUACUCCUCCCUCAAACCCAACACUGUAUAUGUAUCUUUCAAAGUGCUAUCCUAAAAACAACCUCCUUGGGACCAAGACACGCCAUACUAGCAGACCAUCUCAGGCAAACAACACUUUGUAUGCCCGCCCCCAAUUAUAUGCCGGCUUUUAAAAAAUACCAGCAACCACGGCCAACGUCGAGCAAGGUGACGUGUGCCUCAAAGCACCGUACUCUCCACCCUACUGUAGACUAUUCACAUGCUGCCGAACACUAUUACACACCAAUGUGAACUUGGAUAUGUUUCCAUUUACUCCAAUUGUGGGAUCCUACCUCAUGCACCAUUAGUUGUGUGCAGGCAACUUCAUUUUCCUACUGUUUGUACACAUUACCCUGAUCCAUCUCAACCUCAGCCCCACGCACACUUCAUUAAAUCCUCCCAGCAAAUGUACAAAAAUAAAUAAAAUCAAUAAUUACAAUGUUAAAUACACCACAUGAAUAGUAAAUGUAAGGGGGCACGAAGGGAGAGAGAGAAAAAAAAAAAAGUACAAUUUGACAAAAACGUAACAAAAAUAUCCUGGGAAAUGUUUAUUAAACAUAACAUUGGGGAUAAACAUCCUGAAUUACAAAAUGUUCGAUUUGGGAAAGUAAAAAAAAAUAAAAAAUAAAAAAAACAUUACUAACUUAAGACAAUCCCGAAUAAAACAAAACCACCUCAAAGACAAAACUGUCACUUUCAGUUCAAUUCCCAUUUUCACGUAUAAUAAAACAAAAAAGAACCUGGCCAGCAUGAAAAUAAGGCAAGAAAAUAAAAUGUUCCAAAUGAAGAAAAACUAUACUUACCUGAUGUGCUCAUACCCAAAAUGCCCACUGCCUCCAAACUGAUUCACCACCAUUACGCUUGGAACAUUCACGGGUUGUUCUACCCACCCAUCUAAAAUCAAAUUUUAUCUUUCACCUGGCGCUUUGUGUUUUCUUUAAACAAUUGUACCCAUUUGCAAAUUCUGCCUGGUUAAUCAAACGUGAAUUUCAAUACAAGAGCAAGUAAAUAAAGUAUUGUGUUCAAAUAAAGUGCUUCACUUCAGAAUAAUUCUUACAACUAACAAAUCAUAAUUCCUUAUGUUUUCAUCAUAUGGGUAGAAGCAAAAUCAUGCAUUAUACAUAGAAGGGUUUUCCAAAAUUUGGGGGUUACGUACCAUACAUGGGUACACAUACACGAGAAAUUAUGCUAAACAACAUUAUGCGCUUCAAAACUUUUGCGUGCGUAUACUUGUCGUGCUCUGGGUCGACUGCACCUUCCGUCCCGAGUGGCGGCUCCUUCGCCCUGCGAUGACAUUAACUACAAUAUUUUGGUUGACGCGUGUACUUUGUUUUGUUACCCUUACUCAGCGACUGCUUGUACUCUGCGUGCCUUCUGUCCCAACCAGCUCCUUCUCUACCCUGCAAAGACCGGUAAACUAAAGUACUGUACUUGUGACUUUCAUUGAGUGCACAUUGUCGGUUACCCUUACUUGGUCUCCAGUCCCAUCCAGUUCAUCUUCCCUGCAAAACACCCCAUCCGAUGACUUGGAUCCUGGUUGUUUAAGACAUUUCCAGUGUGUACUCGUUUACACUCUCCGUGCCUUCUGUACCGACCGGCUCCGCUACCCUGCAAAAAGACAAAAAAGUGAUCCAAAAAAAAUACAUGGCCAGCAUGAAAAUAAGAGAAAAAACAAAGCAUGUUCCAAAUAACAAGCAUACUUACCUGAUGUGCUCAUACACAAAAUGCUCACUGAUUCACCACCAUUGCGCUUGGAACAUUCACGGGUUGUUCUAACCAUCUACCUCAACCGUCGCUCUUACCCACCAGGCCACAGCAGAAUGGCAGCUUCGGUGUCUGUUACUUGUGAAUUCACAAGUCUACUUGAAGAAAAUGGGAAAACAUUUCUUGUUGCAGGCACUUUUCAAACAUGCAUGGCUCAAUAAAGGGAUUAAAACAUCACCCACUGCACCACAAACGGGAAUCCUUGGUCUGUCUGUCUUGGAUGAUCUCAAGCUUCAUCUUACGUUGCAUCCCCCAUUUCAAAAGACACCUACAUUACUUGAACUCAAGUUCAAAAACAAACGAAAAAAACAACAAAAAAAACAUUAGUAACCAAAGUGUUUGUCAUACAUGUUCACGUGGAGUAAUUACACACUCACCUAAGAUUACGCAUCCCGGUUGUGCAGAUUGCUCUGGCUUCACCCUGUAACGACAAAAAAAAGGACGUUUUAUGUUAAAUGACAUACUUCCGUGCCUGCCAUCGUUACAUCGUUGCCUUUGUAACACCGGUCGCCACCCGUAUAUACUCAACUGAGGUGUGCCACAAAGCUCACUGCUCUUCUUCCACCCUGCCAAACAACUUUGCUCUUCUUCCACCCUGCCAAACCACACGAACAUACCGAAAUUUCUCGUGUAUGAUGCGCGUUCCCCCACCCCAAAGAAUGGCAAAAGUCAAUGGGUACACUUUAUACAAAGAUC